rnacentral:misc_RNA from 1 species
GAUGAAGAACGUAGCAAACUGCGAUAAGUAGUGUGAAUUGCAUUCAGUGAAUCAUCGAAUCUUUGAACGCACAUUGCGCCCGCCAGUAUUCUGGCGGGCAUGCCUGUUCGAGCGUCAUUACAACCCUCAGGCCCCCGGGCCUGGCGUUGGGGAUCGGCGGAAGCCCCCUGCGGGCACAACGCCGUCCCCCAAAUACAGUGGCGGUCCCGCCGCAGCUUCCAUUGCGUAGUAGCUAACACCUCGCAACUGGAGAGCGGCGCGGCCACGCCGUAAAACACCCAACUUCUGAAUGUUGACCUCGAAUCAGGUAGGAAUACCCGCUGAACUUAAGCAUAUCAAUAAGCGGAGGA